rnacentral:tRNA from 1 species
ACUUUAGUAUUUUAUAAAAAAUAUCUAAUUUGUAAUUAGAAGAAACUUUGGUCUAAAGUA